CCGGAUCAACACUGGCCACCUUCACGUCCCAAGGAUCGACGAUGGAUAGCAGCACUUUCUGCGUCGUAGAACAGAGACGAGAUGAUGAUCACCAGAGAUCUGGGCAGCGUGGGAGGGGCGAAACGCGAGAACGGCGGUCGCUGGAGCCGUCUGUACUACCACAAUCCUCUAAGCUGUUCUUAGCGUCAAGCCGGCGGCGAUUGGAUUAAAUCCGCGGUCACCGACAAACGAUAUCUCUACAAAGGAGUUCCACCUUCCGGGGCAGGUGGUCUUAAACUGAUCUGUCGUGCCGUAUAUCGGCGGCCACUUAGCGAUAUCUUCUCAGACCGCCUUGCAUGUAUCGGUAUCGCAUAUACGAGGUCGCGUGCACACGCGAGAGCCUGCAUGCAUCGGUUACAAAGGUGUAUUACGUAGAAUGUGUACAUCUACCUUGUACACUAGUGCGCGAAAAUUACACGGCAAUAUUACGCGAGUACACGACUCGCUUCGAGUUUUAUUUGUGCUUACAUACUUUACGACCGGGGACUUUAAUCCGAGAUAGUAGUAAUUAUAAUGGGGAACAUCGCGCGUUAUCCUCCUUUGAUGGGCAGCGCACGGCCGCAUUCCGCUGGAAUAUUUCCAACGCGAAUUGUAAUCCCUCCCGCAUGGCAUUCGUGACACCGGUGCUUACAUGUAAGCUUAUUGUCAAUUUGCCCGCGAGAUUGUUUGGUUUUACGUAUGGAAACACGGCGAAUUAAUGGAAACGACACGACGAUCUAAUUGAAAAUUCUCUAUUCUGCGAUGGGAUUCCACCAGCACGGGUCCUCCUCUUCCACGGGACAAGUUCCUAUGUUGCGGUGCUGGAAAAGCUGCAGCAUUGUUUCAUCUCGAUACUGUUUGCUCGUGUGUACACGUGAAUGCGCUUUAUCAGAUUCAUUUCAGAUUACUCGCGUUACGUAAUGACGAUUGCACAGAUUGUAUUUAUCGCGUUACUUUAUCUGCGACGCGUAAUUAUAAUAAUAAUAAGCGGGAUACACCGUUAAAAAAGGCACGCAAACAAGUGUUCUAUUUCUUCUGCUUUUAUUAUACGCUUCUCAAUAAGAUGGCUCAUAAAGAAAUUGAAUAAUACCUCUCUCGCUAACUCGAAAUACUAGUUUUACAGCAAACGUUUCGCGAACUGAUGUUAUACGGUAAAUUGGAGCAUUUGUUAUUACGUACUAUGAUUAUACGGAAUAUUUUAAUUAACGCCUAAAGAGUUAACCGUAAUGAUAUGGUCUUGUAAUAACAAUAAUUAAAUUAUACUAUCUAAUUCGUCAUUCUGUGUUUGACAGGCUCGUUAGCACGCUAAUUAAUGCGAUAACAAACGAUUGAACAAAUCGAUUCGUUUCCUAGUGAGAGACAUUUUGCAAAACGAACGAAUACAAAAUAAACGAAAUCUUUUGUCGAACGGCCUCUCGAAAUAAAAGGCAACUUCUCGACGCAUUCGCUCGGCUUACGACACUAAAACUGUCGUAAGGCAAUGACCGAAUUGCAAUAAAAAAAUACUGCAAGAUAAAGAUAAUUUUACAAAACUGUACAAAAUAUCAUUAACCCGACUAUCUUCAGAUCUUUCGCAUCAGAAGUCUCAAAUUCAACUUGGACGUAUCUCUGCAAUCACCCCGUACGAUUUUCUCGAAAAAUAUUCGCUACCAAUUAACACACUCAGUUUCUUUAUAAAUAUUAUUGCCAUACUCUAAACACGUGGGCUGCUCCGCUACCGCAGACAUUCUCUUCCGAUUCGAAAAUUAUUCACUCGAUUACUUAAUUAUUCACCGAUCAACGAAACCACGAAAGGUCUUGACGCGUUAUUUCGAGAGAAUCUUUCUGCUGCCGGUGAUAUAAUAACCAAUGAGACCUUCGGGUUUUUCGUAUUUCAGUAAUAUCGCUUUAAAUAGAGGAAGUGCGAAAAUACUAUUGAACGCAUUCACUAGAACUGCAUUGCGAAUUUUCUCGUUUGCGGAUCCUAAAUUAUGUAAAUGUUGGGUGACCACCCGAAGGUUCAUUCAGAUUUAUUUAUCACCAAUAACAACAUUUCCGGACGCACGUAUUGCUAACUACAAUUCACAGAUCACUUUGCACAAUUCUCUCCCUCUCUCUCUCUCUCUCUCUCUCUCUCUCUCUCUCUCUCUCUGUUUCUCUAUCGACAAAACAAUAGAAACCAUUAUUGUAACUGUCUUGUUCGCUCGAAUAUCUAGGUGCACGCGCGAAUAUAUCACAUCGUAUAUCGAUCGUCUUGUAUGAGUGUUCACUUGGAUACUCGCGCGUUCGGUUAUAGUUACGCUAUAUUAUGCUCUAUAUUUCUAUUAUCAUUAACAGUAUCAUAACUAUGCUCUCUCGCGAGCAUAUAUAUAUUUUUAUCUUCUCUCUUGUCAUUCGGAUUUUACAUUGCAACACACAUACACAUUUUCCAUUCGUCGCACGCGCUCGAUACUCCAUGAAUAAAGUUUAAAAACGUUAACGGUAAUAAUAUAUCUAUCUUUCUAUUUAUUAUCUGCUGAAACUGCUCUCAGUUAAGUAAGCGGCAUGUUUAGAACGAGUGGGUUCGAGUGCUGCGAGAAAGCAGGAUGCAUGCGCGGAGGAACGAAAAAGGAAGGAAGGAAAGAAGAAGAGUGGAAAAAACCAACGGUCAGAUCAUGAGCAUCAUAAUCGUGUGCAAGGAAUAAAAAAUCGCCCCAAAUAUUCGCUUUCUACUGUGGAUAUCUAUGCCAAAUGCGUAUUACGGCCUUUUACAAAAUCCCGCAACGCGCAGAGUUGGUGCUAAACGUUAUCCUUAUAUGUUUCUUACUUGCUGUUAUUAUCAAUACGUCUUUUUAACAUUAUUAAUGAGUAUUAUUUUUUCUUCGUACAAGGUAAUAGAGGAUACCAUUACCACACACGACUCUAUUACAUUAUUGUUCCGAGUUGUUAUUUUUUUUUUUACGCCUCUUCCUCCUUUACUAAAUUCCGUUCACGCUUACGUAAUCGAAAGAUGAGCAGUAACACCGCAUUUCUCUCACUGUAUAAUAUCUUUACAAGUUCAUUGAGGGGGGAGUAGCCCGAGAUAAAGUUUCUCAGUCGCGAACGUCGAUUUAAAAAUAGUCCUCGACUCUUGUUACAUCCUCCGGUUCACUUGGUGAUUUCGCGUAUCAGAUCGUCGGUUCAGCGUUACGCGACACCCAGUUAUUAAUUUUGCGAUCAAGUCAUUAUCGAUCUUAUCAAAACGCACGCAUACACACAUACACAACUGAGUUUCUUCUCAAAAAGUAUAUAUAUUUGUAAUGUUAAUAUGUACAGUUUCUUCUACCAUUUAUCGACGCUAAUACUUUAUACAUACUAAUGAACUAACAAAACGUGUAGAGGACUGAUCGAUAUAUUACAUAUCGAUUACGGGACACGUGGCACCAGCCAUAGCCAAGCGUGUGUUAGGAAUCCGUUUGUUACACAGGAUAGUUUAAAAGGAAAAUAAGAAUCCGUUUCUGCUUACAAUGAAGUCGUCGAUGAAUAUGAUAUGUAUCUAUUUCUUCUUUUCUCCCAGACUUCUGUGGCUUUUUUAUCUUACAAAUCUUGCCUGCUUGCAAAAAAUAUGGAUGAGAACUACCACAGCGAUAAAUUGAACGCGCUAUCGAUACUAUUGAGAUCCCUUACAAACGUGCGAAAGCGGUGCCUCUCGUUUUAAAAUAUCCUGCGUAACGAAUUGACAAAUUAUUAUUGAUUUAUUAUAAAAUAUUGCACAUUAGAAAAUGCACAGGAUAUAUCGUUUCUGUCGUUUAAACGCACGAUCGAUACGCAGAUCUAACGAAAGGGAGUUUCGGGUCUAUUAGGCGAACAAAAAGGAACGUUUUAUGUAAGACGAUCGAUUCUCUCGCCGGAAAACGAGGUGCGUGCUGUAUACAUAAUUCGUAGGCCAGAAGGAUAGGUGGUUUCUAGGCGGACGCGACCGUAUCCCCGCAGUUAUAAUAAUAGUCUACGUGUAUCUGUACACUAAUUCUCUUACAUGUCAUCGCGUGUGCAAUUUUGUUGAUCGUAACGAAGGAAAAACGACACGUGUUUUAUCGACGAAACAAAAAUCUCAGCUAUAUCGCAUACGUAAGAACCAGAUUUAUUUUCUGAUUCGAGCUGCGUCAAGAUUGCCUCGCCAGGUCGUAGACGAGCACGGCGUACAAUAUAAAUCCGCGUUUAAAUUUAUACAUCACAUUUCGCUCUCGAUUAAAUUACGUGCGAGCGUUGCAGUAUUCGAUCGAA